AUUCCAGCUCCAAUAGCGUAUAUUAAAGUUGUUGUGGUUAAAAAGCUCGUAGUUGGAUUUCGGCGGGUAUAGGUUGGUUUGAAUUGCUUCAAUACUGACUUUUUUACCCGUGUGUUUUGCCAGAAUUUAACGGGUGAUCUUCGCCGAUUGUCUGUUAGAACUGACAGGUUUACUUUGAAAAAAUUAGAGUGCUCAAAGCAAGCUUGAUUGCUUGAAUAUUCGUGCAUGGAAUAAUAGAAUAGGAAGUCGUUUCUAUUUUGUUGGUUUUCGGAAAUCGACUUAAUGAUUAAUAGGGACAGUCGGGGGCAUUUGUAUUCAAACGACAGAGGUGAAAUUCUUGGACCGUUUGAAGACAAACUACUGCGAAAGCAUUUGCCAAGAAUGUUUUCAUUA
rnacentral:rRNA from 1 species